rnacentral:rRNA from 1 species
GGCGAGCAUUCUGUAGCUGUGAAGCGGUUUCGUAAGAUCCGUUGGAGCAAUCAGAAAAGACUUUGUCGGCAUUAGUAGCGAUAACGCGUGUGAGAACCACGCGCACCGAAAACCUAAGGUUUCCUGCGUCAAGUUAAUCUGCGCAGGGUUAGUCUGUACCUAAGGCGAGGCCGAGAGGCGUAGUCGAUGGAAAUCCGGUUAAUAUUCCGGAACCAUGGGUAUGUGAUGUGGGUUGACGCAACAGGGUAGUCAAGACACCUGAUGGAUGGUGUUGAAGUAAAUAGGCCGUCGCUUAGGCAAAUCCGGGCGACACAAGGCUAAAUAUACGGACGAAAGUACGAACCUUCGGGUUCGGAACAAGUUGAUGACCCCAGUUGCCAAGAAAAUUCCCGUUCAUCUAUACAUACUCCACUGGCAGUACCGUAAACCGACACAGGUAGGUGGGAUGAGAAUUCUAAGGUGCUUGUGAGAACCCUCGUUCAGGAACUCGGCAAAAUGUAUCCGUAACUUCGGGAGAAGGAUAGCCGUGUUCACCAAGAACACGGUCGCAGAGAAAUGUUCCAGGCGACUGUUUAACAAAAACACAGGUCUCCGCAAAGUUGUAAAGACAACGUAUGGGGGCUGACGCCUGCCCAAUGCUGGAAGGUUAAAAGGAGUGGUUAGGAGCAAUCCGAAGCUGCGAAUUGAAGCCCCAGUGAAUGGCGGCCGUAACUAUAACGGUCCUAAGGUAGCGAAAUUCCUUGUCGGGUAAGUUCCGACCUGCACGAAUGGCGUAACGAUCUGGAAGCUGUCUUAACGAGGGACACAGCGAACUUGUAGUACCGGUGAAGAUGCCGGUUUCCCGCAUCUAGACGGAAAGACCCCGUGCACCUUGACUACAACUUGAUAGUGAUUUCGGGCAAACGAUGCGCAGUAUAGGUGGGAGGCUUUGAUGUCAGGCUUUUGGGCUUGGCGGAGCCGCAAUGUGAGAUACCACCCUUCGUUUGUUUGGACUCUAACCUCGAGCCGUAAUCCGGCUCAGGGACAUUAUCAGGCGGGUAGUUUGACUGGGGCGGUCGCCUCCUAAAGAGUAACGGAGGCGCUCGAAGGUUGGCUCAGGCUGUUUGGAAAUCAGCCGCAGAGUGUAAACGCAUAAGCCAGCUUGACUGCGAGACAUACACGUCGAGCAGGUACGAAAGUAGGAGUUAGUGAUCCGGCGGUCGCUUAUGGAAGUGCCGUCGCUCAACGGAUAAAAGGUACGCCGGGGAUAACAGGCUGAUCCUGCCCAAGAGUUCACAUCGACGGCAGGGUUUGGCACCUCGAUGUCGGCUCAUCACAUCCUGGGGCUGAAGAAGGUCCCAAGGGUUCGGCUGUUCGCCGAUUAAAGUGGUACGUGAGCUGGGUUCAGAACGUCGCGAGACAGUUCGGUCCCUAUCUGGUGUGGGCGGAGCAAAAUUGAAGGAAUCUGACCUUAGUACGAGAGGACCGGGUUGGAUUGACCUCUAGUGUACGUGUUAUCACGCCAGUGGUAUCGCACGGUAGCUAUGUCGAGCAUGGAUAAACGCUGAAUGCAUCUAAGCGUGAAGCCAGACCUAAGAUUAGUUUUGCCAGUGAGACUCGUGGAAGACCACCACGUUGAUAGGCUGGAGAUGUAAGCACAGCAAUGUGUUUAGUUUACCAGUACUAAUUGUCCCAAGGCUUGACCAUAAAA